rnacentral:rRNA from 1 species
GAUGAACGCUGGCGGCGUGCCUAAUACAUGCAAGUCGAGCGAACAGAUAAGGAGCUUGCUCCUUUGACGUUAGCGGCGGACGGGUGAGUAACACGUGGGUAACCUACCUAUAAGACUGGAAUAACUCCGGGAAACCGGGGCUAAUGCCGGAUAACAUUUAGAACCGCAUGGUUCUAAAGUGAAAGAUGGUUUUGCUAUCACUUAUAGAUGGACCCGCGCCGUAUUAGCUAGUUGGUAAGGUAACGGCCUACCAAGGCAACGAUACGUAGCCGACCUGAGAGGGUGAUCGGCCACACUGGAACUGAGACACGGUCCAGACUCCUACGGGAGGCAGCAGUAGGGAAUCUUCCGCAAAGGGCGAAAGCCUGACGGAGCAACGCCGCGUGAGUGAUGAAGGUCUUCGGAUCGUAAAACUCUGUUAUUAGGGAAGAACAAAUGUGUAAGUAACUGUGCACGUCUUGACGGUACCUAAUCAGAAAGCCACGGCUAACUACGUG